rnacentral:rRNA from 1 species
GAUGAACGCUGGCGGCGUGCCUAAUACAUGCAAGUCGAGCGAACAGACGAGGAGCUUGCUCCUCUGACGUUAGCGGCGGACGGGUGAGUAACACGUGGAUAACCUACCUAUAAGACUGGGAUAACUUCGGGAAACCGGAGCUAAUACCGGAUAAUAUAUUGAACCGCAUGGUUCAAUAGUGAAAGACGGUUUUGCUGUCACUUAUAGAUGGAUCCGCGCCGCAUUAGCUAGUUGGUAAGGUAACGGCUUACCAAGGCGACGAUGCGUAGCCGACCUGAGAGGGGGAUCGGCCACACGAGAACUGAGACACGGUCCAGACUCCUACGGGAGGCAGCAGUAGGGAAUCUUCCGCAAUAGGCGAAAGCCUGACGGAGCAACGCCGCGUGAGUGAUGAAGGUCUUCGGAUCGUAAAACUCUGUUAUUAGGGAAAAACAAAUGUGUAAGUAACUAUGCACGUCUUGACGGUACCUAAUCAGAAAGCCACGGCUAACUACGUG